rnacentral:rRNA from 1 species
GAUGAACGCUGGCGGCGUGCCUAAUACAUGCAAGUCGAGCGAACGGACGAGAAGCUUACUUCUCUGAUGUUAGCGGCGGACGGGUGAGUAACACGUGGAUAACCUACCUAUAAGACUGGGAUAACUUCGGGAAACCGUAGCUAAUACCGGAUAAUAUUUUGAACCGCAUGGUUCAAAAGUGAAAGACGGUCUUGCUGUCACUUAUAGAUGGAUCCGCGCUGCAUUAGCUAGUUGGUAAGGUAACGGCUUACCAAGGCAACGAUGCAUAACCGACCUGAGAGGGUGAUCGGCCACACUGGAACUGAGACACGGUCCAGACUCCUACGGGAGGCAGCAGUAGGGAAUCUUCCGCAAUGGGCGAAAGCCUGACGGAGCAACGCCGCGUGAGUGAUGAAGGUCUUCGGAUCGUAAAACUCUGUUAUUAGGGAAGAACAUAUGUGUAAGUAACUGUGCACAUCUUGACGGUACCUAAUCAGAAAGCCACGGCUAACUACGUG